AAGUCGUAACAAGGUUUCCGUAGGUGAACCUGCGGAAGGAUCAUUACCGAAUUGUCAAACGGGUUGUUGCUGGUCCUCGAAAGGGGACAUGUGCACGCUCUGUUUACACAUCCACUCACACCUGUGCACCCUCCGUAGUUCUAUGGUCUGGGAGACCUUGUCUUCCUGCCGUGGUUCUACGUCUUUACACACACACUGUAACAAAGUCUUAAGGAAUGUAUGCAGCGUCUAACGCAAUACAAUACAACUUUCAGCAACGGAUCUCUUGGCUCUC
rnacentral:misc_RNA from 1 species